UACGGGGGGGGCAAGCGUUGUUCGGAAUUACUGGGCGUAAAGGGCUCGUAGGUGGCCAACUAAGUCGGACGUGAAAUCCCUCGGCUUAACCGGGGAACUGCGUCCGAUACUGGUUGGCUUGAGUUUGGGAGAGGGAUGCGGAAUUCCAGGUGUAGCGGUGAAAUGCGUAGAUAUCUGGAGGAACACCGGUGGCGAAGGCGGCCCCCUGGUUGGAUACUGACGCUGAGACGCGAAAGCGUGGGGAGCAAACAGG
rnacentral:rRNA from 1 species